rnacentral:rRNA from 1 species
UUCCAGACUCCUACGGGAGGCAGCAGUGGGGAAUAUUGCACAAUGGGGGAAACCCUGAUGCAGCAACGCCGCGUGGGUGAAGGAGCGUUUCGGCGCGUAAAGCCCUGUCAGCGGGGAAGAAGAAAGACGGUACCUGACUAAGAAGCCCCGGCUAACUACGUGCCAGCAGCCGCGGUAAUACGUAGGGGGCAAGCGUUAUCCGGAUUUACUGGGUGUAAAGGGAGCGUAGACGGCAAUACAAGUCGGAAGUGAAAUACCCGGGCUCAACCUGGGAACUGCUUUGGAAACUGUAUGGCUAGAGUGCUGGAGAGGUAAGCGGAAUUCCUAGUGUAGCGGUGAAAUGCGUAGAUAUUAGGAGGAACACCAGUGGCGAAGGCGGCUUACUGGACAGUAACUGACGUUGAGGCUCGAAAGCGUGGGGAGCAAACAGGAUUAGAUACCCUGGUA